CAUCAGAUCUGGGAUGUGAUACGGUUCCGAAGGAUGAACUGGAUAUGGACAGUUCCAAUAAGAUUUCAUUCUUGAACAAAAAUCCAUUUUUUUAUUUAUUUCAUCUAUUCCAUGAACGGAAGAGGGGGGGAUACACGUUACGCCACGAUUUUGAGUCAGAAGAGAGAUUUCAAGAAAUGGCAGAUCUAUUCACUCUAUCAAUAACCGAGCCGGAUCUGGUGUAUCAUAAGGGAUUUGCCUUUUCUAUUGAUUCCUACGGAUUGGAUCAAAGACAAUUCUUGAAGGAGGUUUUCAACUCCAGGGAUGAAUUGAAAAAGAAAUCUUUAUUGGUUCUACCUCCUAUUUUUUAUGAAGAAAAUGAAUCUUUUUAUCGAAGGAUCAGAAAAAAUUGGGUCCGGAUCUCCUGCGGGAAUUUUUUUGAAGAUCCAAAACCAAAAAGAGUGGUAUUUGCUAGCAACAACAUAAUGGAGGCAGUCAAUCAAUAUAGAUUGAUCCGAAAUCUGAUUCAAAUCCAAUUCCAAUAUAGUCCCUAUGGGUACAUAAGAAAUGUAUUGAAUCGAUUCUUUUUAAUGAAGAGACCUGAUCGCAACUUCGAAUAUGGAAUUCAAAGGGAUCUAAUAGGAAAUGAUACUCUGAAUCAUAGAACUAUAAUGAAAGAUACGAUCAACCAACAUUUAUCGAAUUUGAAAAAGAGUCAGAAGAAAUGGUUCGAUCCUCUUAUUUUUCUUUCUCGAACCGAGAGAUCCAUAAAUCGGGAUCCUAAUGCAUAUAGAUACAAAUGGUCCAAUGGGAGCAAGAAUUUCCAGGAGCAUUUGAAACAUUUCGUUUCUGAGCGGAAGAGCCGUUUUCAAGUAGUGUUCGAUCGAUUAUGUAUUAAUCAAUAUUCGAUUGAUUGGUCUGAGGUUAUUGAUAAAAAAGAUUUGUCUAAGUCACUUCGUUUCUUUUUGUCCAAGUUACUUCGUUUUUUGUCCAAGUUACUUCUCUUUUUGUCUAACUCACUUCCUUUUUUCUUUGUGAGUUUCGAGAAUAUCCCCAUUCAUAGGUCUGAGAUCCACAUCUAUGAAUUGAAAGGUCCGAACGAUCAACCCUGCAAUCAGUUGUUAGAAUCAAUAGGUCUUCAAAUCGUUCAUUCUAAAAAAUUGAAACCCUUUUUAUUGGAUGAUCAUAAUACUUCUCAAAAAUCGAAAUUCUUGAUCAAUGGAGGAACAAUAUCACCAUUUUUGUUCAAUAAGAUACCAAAGUGGAUGAUUGACUCAUUCCAUACUAGAAAGAAUCGCAGGAAAUCUUUUGAUAACACGGAUUCCUAUUUCUCAAUCGUAUCCCACGAUCAAGACAAUUGGCUGAAUCCCGUGAAACCAUUUCAGAGAAGUUCAUUGAUAUCUUCUUUUUCUAAAGCAAAUCGACUUCGAUUCUUGAAUAAUCCACAUCACUUCUGCUUCUAUUGUAACAAAAUAUUCCCUUUUUAUGUGGAAAAGGCCCGUCUCAAUAAUUCUGAUUUUACGUAUGGACAAUUCCUCACUAUCUUGUUCAUUCACAACAAAAUAUUUUCUUCGUGUGGUGGUAAAAAAAAACAUGCUUUUUUGGAGAGAGAUACUAUUUCACCUUCGUCAAUCGAGUCACAGGUAUCUAACAUAUUCAUAUCUAACGAUUUUCCACAAAGUGGUGACGAAAGGUAUAACUUGUACAAAUCUUUCCAUUUUCCAAUUCGAUCCGAUCCAUUAGUUCGUAGAGCUAUUUACUCGAUUGCAGACAUUUCUGGAACACCUCUAAUAGAGGGACAAAGAGUAAAUUUGGAAAGAACGUAUUGUCAAACUCUUUCAGAUAUGAAUCUAUCCGAUUCAGAAGAGAAGAGCUUGCAUCAGUAUCUCAAUUUCAAUUCAAACGUGGGUUUGAUUCACACUCCAUGUUCUGAGAAAUAUUUACAGAGGAAAAAACGGAGUCUUUGCCUAAAAAAAUGCGUUGACAAAGGGCAGAUGGAUAGAACCUUUCAACGAGAUAGUGCUUUUUCAACUCUCUCAAAAUGGAAUCUAUUCCAAACAUAUAUGCCAUGGUUCUUUACUUCGACAGGGUACAAAUAUCUAAAUUUGAUAUUUUUAGAUAUUUUUUCAGACCUAUUGCGGAUACUAAGUAGCAGUCAAAAAUUUGUAUCCAUUUUUCAUGAUAUUAUGUAUGGAUUAGAUAUAUCAUGGCGAAUUCUUCAGAAAAAAUUGUGUCUUCCACAAAGGAAUCUGAUAAGUGAGAUUUCGAGUAAGUCUUUACAUAAUCUUCUUCUGUCCGAAGAAAUGAUUCAUCGAAAUAAUGAGUCAUCGUUGAUAUCGACACAUCUGAGAUCGCCAAAUGUUCGUGAGGUCCUCUAUUCAAUCCUUUUCCUUCUUCUUGUUGCUGGAUAUAUCGUUCGUACACAUCUUCUCUUUGUUUCCCGAGCCUAUAGUGAGUUACAGACAGAGUUCGAAAAGAUCAAAUCUUUGAUGAUUCCAUCAUACAUGAUUGAGUUGCGAAAACUUCUGGAUAGGUAUCCUACAUCUGAACAGAAUUCUUUCUGGUUAAAGAAUCUUUUUCUAGUUGCUCUGGAACAAUUAGGAGAUUGUCUAGAAGAAAUAUGGGGUUCUGGCGGCAACAUGCUAUGGGGUGGUGAUCCCGCUUAUGGGGUCAAAUCAAUACGUUCUAAGAAGACAGAUUUGAAAAUAAACUUCAUCGAUAUCAUCGAUCUCAUAAGUAUCAUACCAAAUCCCAUCAAUCGAAUCACUUUUUCGAGAAAUACGAGACAUCUAAGUCAUACAAGUAAAGACAUCUAUUCAUUGAUAAGAAAAAGAAAAAACGUGAGCGGUGAUUGGAUUGAUGAUAAAAUAGAAUCCUGGGUCGCGAACAGUGAUUCGAUUGAUGAUAAAGAAAGAGAAUUCUUGGUUCAGUUCUCCACCUUAAGGGCAGAAAAAAGGAUUGAUCAAAUUCUAUUGAGUCUGACUCAUAGUGAUCAUUUAUCAAAGAAUGACUCUGGUUAUCAAAUGAUUGAACAACCGGGAACAAUUUACUUACGAUACUUAGUUGACAUUCAUAAAAAGUAUCUAAUGAAUUAUGAGUUCAAUACAUCCUGUUUAGCAGAAAGACGGAUAUUCCUUGCUCAUUAUCAGACAAUCACUUAUUCACAAACUUCGUGUGGGGCUAAUAGUUUUCAUUUCCCGUCUCAUGGAAAACCCUUUUCGCUCCGCUUAGCCCUAUCCCCCUCUAGGAGUAUUUUAGUGAUAGGUUCUAUAGGAACCGGACGAUCCUAUUUGGUCAAAUACCUAGCGACAAACUCCUAUGUUCCUUUCAUUACAGUAUGUCUGAACAAGUUCCUGGAUAACAAGCCGAAAGGUUUUUUUCUUGAUGAUAUCGAUAUUGAUGAUAGUGACGAUAUUGAUGCUAGUAACGAUAUUGAUCGUGAACUUGAUACGGAGCUGGAGCUUCUAACUAUGAUGAAUGCGCUAACUAUGGAUAUGAUGUCGGAAAUAGACCGAUUUUAUAUCACCCUUCAAUUCGAAUUAGCAAAAGCAAUGUCUCCUUGCAUAAUAUGGAUUCCAAACAUUCAUGAUCUUGAUGUGAAUGAGUCGAAUUACUUAGCCCUCGGUCUCUUGGUGAACUCUCUCUCCAGGGAUUGUGAAAGAUGUUCGACUAGAAAUAGUCUUGUUAUUGCUUCGACUCAUAUUCCCCAAAAAGUGGAUCCCGCUCUAAUAGCCCCGAAUAAAUUAAAUACAUGCAUUAAAAUAAGAAGGCUUCUUAUUCCACAACAACGAAAGCACUUUUUCAGUCUCUCCUAUACUAGGGGAUUUCACUUGGAAAAGAAAAUGUUCCAUACUAAUGGAUUCGAGUCCAUAACCAUGGGUUCCAGUGCACGAGAUCUUGUAGCACUUACCAAUGAGGCCUUAUCAAUUAGUAUUACACAGAAGAAAUCAAUUAUAGACACUAAUACAAUUAGAUCUGCUCUUCAUAGACAAACUUGGGAUUUGCGAUCCCAGGUAAGAUCGGUUCAGGAUCAUGGGAUCCUUUUCUAUCAGAUAGGAAGGGUUGUUGCACAAAAUGUACUUAUAAGUAAUUGCCCCAUAGAUCCUAUAUCUAUCUAUAUGAAGAAGAAAUCAUGUAACGAAGGGGAUUCUUAUUUGUACAAAUGGUACUUCGAACUUGGAACGAGCAUGAAGAAAUUCACGAUACUUCUUUAUCUUUUGAGUUGUUCUGCCGGAUCGGUCGCUCAAGACCUUUGGUCUCUACCCGGACCCGAUGAAAAAAAUAGGAUCACUUCUUAUGGAUUCAUUGAGAAUGAUUCGGAUCUAUUUCAUGGCCUAUUAGAAGUGCAAGGCGCUUUGGUGGGAUCCUCACGGACAGAAAAAGAUUGCAGUCAGUUUGAUAAUGAUCGAGUGACAUUGCUUUUUCGCUCCGAACCAAGGGAUCCCUUAUAUAUGAUGCAAGAUGGAUCUUGUUCUAUCGUUGAUCAGAGAUUUCUCUAUGAAAAAUACGAAUCGGAGUUUGAAGAAGGGGAAGGAGAAGCAGUCCUCGACCCGGAACAGAUAGAGGAGGAUUUAUUCAAUCACAUAGUUUGGGCUCCUAGAAUAUGGCGCCCUCGGGGCUUUCUAUUUGAUUGUAUCGAAAGGCCUAAUGAAUUGGGAUUUCCCUAUUUGGCCGGGUCAUUUCGGGGCAAGCGGAUCAUUUAUGAUGAAAAGUAUGAGCUUCAAGAGAAUGAUUCGGAGUUCUUGCAGAGCGGAACCAUGCAGUACCAGAGACGAGAUAGGUCUUCCAAAGAACAAGGCUUUUUUAGAAUAAGCCAAUUCAUUUGGGACCCCGCAGAUCCACUCUUUUUCCUAUUCAAAGAUCAGCCCUUUGUCUCUGUGUUUUCACAUCGAGAAUUCUUUGCAGAUGAAGAGAUGUCAAAGGGGCUUCUUACUUCCCAAACAGAUCCUCCUACAUCUAUAUAUAAACGCUGGUUUAUCAAGAAUACGCAAGAAAAGCACUUCGAAUUGUUGAUUCAGCGC
rnacentral:lncRNA from 1 species